rnacentral:rRNA from 1 species
CACCUUUGACAUGUACGGAAGUUGCCAGAGAUGGCUUCGUGCUCGAAAGAGAGCCGUAACACAGGUGCUGCAUGGCUGUCGUCAGCUCGUGUCGUGAGAUGUUGGGUUAAGUCCCGCAACGAGCGCAACCCUUGUCAUUAGUUGCUACGAAAGGGCACUCUAAUGAGACUGCCGGUGACAAACCGGAGGAAGGUGGGGAUGACGUCAAGUCCUCAUGGCCCUUAUAGGUGGGGCUACACACGUCAUACAAUGGCUGGUACAAAGGGUUGCCAACCCGCGAGGGGGAGCCAAUCCCAUAAAGCCAGUCGUAGUCCGGAUCGCAGUCUGCAACUCGACUGCGUGAAGUCGGAAUCGCUAGUAAUCGUGGAUCAGCAUGUCACGG